GAGAGUGGAGUAGUCACCGUCGUUGGAGAGAGGGAGAGCCAGAGGAGGACGAGACGUGUGAGAAAGGAGACGCACAGGGGUGGAACCGUUCCUCUGCCGCCGCUAUCGCCGGAAUUCCUGGUCGCCGUCGUCGUUCAUGACGUAUGCCCUGCUCUCUGGUUUCUGUUUUUCCCGAGUACCAGAGUUGCUGCUCCAUUCCUAUAUUUCUUUUGCCUCUAUUAAAUUCCCUUCCAAAAUUGUUGUUGCUGCUACUAGAGUUGUGGGUGAUGCCGCUGCCGUUCCAGUUGUAUUGGAGUGACUACCUGCCACAAAUUGGGGAUAAAGGAAAUUGUUACGUUAGAUAAUACGAUUCCGGCUAAUUGAGCGACAGGUUUGAAGACGCAAUUUGAAGCUGCGAGCGAUCAGUAGGCUUUCUUUAUGG